rnacentral:rRNA from 1 species
UACCGAGGGGGCAAGCGUUAUUCGGAAUUAUUGGGCGUAAAGGGCGCGUAGGCGGCGUUGCAAGAGACGGGUGAAAUCCCUCGGCUUAACCGAGGAACUGCCUGUCAGACUGCAUGGCUUGAGACCGGGAGAGGUGAGUGGAAUUCCCAGUGUAGCGGUGAAAUGCGUAGAUAUUGGGAGGAACACCAGUGGCGAAGGCGGCUCACUGGACCGGUACUGACGCUGAUGCGCGAAAGCGUGGGGAGCAAACAGG